rnacentral:rRNA from 1 species
UAGGGAAUCUUCCACAAUGGACGAAAGUCUGAUGGAGCAACGCCGCGUGAGUGAAGAAGGUUUUCGGAUCGUAAAGCUCUGUUGUUGGUGAAGAAGGAUAGAGGCAGUAACUGGUCUUUAUUUGACGGUAAUCAACCAGAAAGUCACGGCUAACUACGUGCCAGCAGCCGCGGUAAUACGUAGGUGGCAAGCGUUGUCCGGAUUUAUUGGGCGUAAAGCGAGCGCAGGCGGAAUGAUAAGUCUGAUGUGAAAGCCCACGGCUCAACCGUGGAACUGCAUCGGAAACUGUCAUUCUUGAGUGCAGAAGAGGAGAGUGGAACUCCAUGUGUAGCGGUGGAAUGCGUAGAUAUAUGGAAGAACACCAGUGGCGAAGGCGGCUCUCUGGUCUGCAACUGACGCUGAGGCUCGAAAGCAUGGGUAGCGAACAGGAUUAGAUACCCUGGUAGUCCAUGCCGUAAACGAUGAGCGCUAGGUGUUGGGGCACU